rnacentral:rRNA from 1 species
UUUAAAGUCUAAUCUGCUCAAUGAAAGUUAAAUAGCCGCAGUAUUUUGACUGUGCAAAGGUAGCAUAAUAAUUAGUUUCUUAAUUAGGAACUGGAAUGAACGAUUUGACAAGAAAACUACUGUCUCUUUUUUAAUGUUGUUGAAUUUUAUUUUUAAGUGAAAAAGCUUAAAUUAAUAUAAAAGACGAGAAGACCCUAUAGAGUUUAAUAAUUAUAAAUAAUUUAUUAUUAGAAUAUUACUUUAUAAAAAAUUAUUUAAUUGGGGUGAUUGAAAGAUUAAUAAAAUUCUUUUAAAUAAAAAUUGUUAGUUAACAAAUUUUAAAUCUAUUAUUAAUAAAUAUAAAAUAAAUUACCUUAGGGAUAACAGCGUAAUUUUUCUUUAAAGUUCUUAUUGUAAGGAAAGUUUGCGACCUCGAUGUUGGAUUAAAAUUAAUUUUUGGUGCAAUAACUAAAAAAUUAGGUCUGUUCGACCUUUAAAAUUUUACAUGAUCUGAGUUUAAACCGGUGUGAGCCAGGUUGGAUUCUAUCUUUAGAAAGUUAAUAUAUUUUAGUACGAAAGGACCAAAUAUAUAUUAAAGUAAUUG